rnacentral:rRNA from 1 species
GGCUGGCGGCGUAACACGUGGGUAACCUGCCUGUAAGACUGGGAUAACUCCGGGAAACCGGGGCUAAUACCGGAUGCUUGAUUGAACCGCAUGGUUCAAUCAUAAAAGGUGGCUUUUAGCUACCACUUACAGAUGGACCCGCGGCGCAUUAGCUAGUAAUCAUAAAAGGUGGCCAAGGCGACGAUGCGUAGCCGACCUGAGAGGGUGAUCGGCCACACUGGGACUGAGACACGGCCCAGACUCCUACGGGAGGCAGCAGUAGGGAAUCUUCCGCAAUGGACGAAAGUCUGACGGAGCAACGCCGCGUGAGUGAUGAAGGUUUUCGGAUCGUAAAACUCUGUUGUUAGGGAAGAACAAGUACCGUUCGAAUAGGGCGGUACCUUGACGGUACCUAACCAGAAAGCCACGGCUAACUACGUGCCAGCAGCCGCGGUAAUACGGUACCUAACCAGAAAGCCACGGCUAACUACGGCGCGCAGGCGGUUUCUUAAGUCUGAUGUGAAAGCCCCCGGCUCAACCGGGGAGGGUCAUUGGAAACUGGGGAACUUGAGUGCAGAAGAGGAGAGUGGAAUUCCACGUGUAGCGGUGAAAUGCGUAGAGAUGUGGAGGAACACACAAGCGGUGGAGCAUGUGGUUUAAUUCGGACGCUGAGGCGCGAAAGCGUGGGGAGCGAACAGGAUUAGAUACCCUGGUAGUCCACGCCGUAAACGAUGAGUGCUAAGUGUUAGAGGGUUUCCGCCCUUUAGUGCUGCAGCAAACGCAUUAAGCACUCCGCCUGGGGAGUACGGUCGCAAGACUGAAACUCAAAGGAAUUGACGGGGGCCCGCACAAGCGGUGGAGCAUGUGGUUUAAUUCGAAGCAACGCGAAGAACCUUACCAGGUCUUGACAUCCUCUGACAACCCUAGAGAUAGGGCUUCCCCUUCGGGGGCAGAGUGACAGGUGGUGCAUGGUUGUCGUCAGCUCGUGUCGUGAGAUGUUGGGCGUUCCCGGGCCUUGUACACACCGCCCGCAUUCAGUUGGGCACUCUAAGGUGACUGCCGGUGACAAACCGGAGGAAGGUGGGGAUGACGUCAAAUCAUCAUGCCCCUUAUGACCUGGGCUACACACGUGCUACAAUGGGCAGAACAAAGGGCAGCGAAGCCGCGAGGCUAAGCCACGUAACAAGGUAGCCGUAUCGGAAGGUGCGGCUGG